rnacentral:lncRNA from 1 species
GGGGGACCUUGGAUAAUGACAGUAAUUGUCACAACUUCCAAUCUUCCUCAAGCUUUAGAGUUCAGGACUCUGGAUCCCCUCACCAAGGCCACGGCACCAGAGAGGAUGAGAAGGGCUGAUGUUGCAUCUCAGCUGCCCUCUUAGCUGACUAGCCGCACGGAAAAAAAUGAAACUAUGCAGUUUUCUUCUGAAGCAAAUUGCUUUAAGUAGAAAAGCUGCUUCCAGCAAAAUGACGAAGCAUUCCAAGUAUCACCGGUGUGCAUGGUGUGGUCCAAAGGGGGCCCUGAAGCUUGCCGAGCACUAACAAGCCAUCUCUGGUUAGCGAGCCGACAGGUGCCUGCAAGUCCAAGCAGCAGAUGACAUCAGGCCGAGGCUGGGGUCCCACAGGCAAACUCACCCCAGCGGACCUCGUGAUACUUUGGGAGGCCAGGCUCACUGUCUCCCAUUCCUAGUCACCUUGUUACCAACUCCUGUGGAAAAUUUAAUGUGGCCAGAAGGAAUUCUGACCUCUUUUAGACAAAAACAUGCUCAUGUUUUUAUGAUGAACUAUUGCAUAUUUUUAUUGAAAACAUUUAAUACUGCUCUAAAAGGGUGACUAUUUUUUAGGUAUUGCCCCACUGCUGAUUUCUGAUUGAAUGCUGCCAAGAACAAGAAAGGAGGAAAAAAAAAAAAAAAAAAAACUGGAGACGCUAUCAGAUUCAUUAAACAUUGUAUUUAAUUGUUCUUGUAUUUAAACCCUGCCCUUAUCAGUGACAUUGCCACUUUUCUCAUUUUUCAAAGUUGCAUAUUGGAAGAAAACAAGAAAAGGGAGCAAUGGUGUGGCCUGGGAAACUAGGGUGUUUACUGCCUAGAGGAACCAGAAGUUCAUAUGGGCCUGGCUGGCUGAAGAAAUGACAGCUCAGCAUAGGGAAGGGGAGGGAAAAAAAAAAAAAAAGGCGAUAGCAGCAGCAAAGCAAGAACAAAACAUUUAAAGAGAUCUGGCCAGAACUGGUCUGCACAAAUUCCUGUCCUGCCUUCCUCCUCCUCGCUCCCACAAGCCGCAGCAAUCUUGCCUUCCCUAGGAAACUGCAACUCCUACCUCCUCCGAGGGGGCUGCGCACGCGCCCCGUGCCGGGGUGCGCGCAUUUUCCCUCU